GGUUUAUGAGCGCAGCCUGAUCCAGCCAUGCCGCGUGAGUGAAGAAGGCCUUCGGGUUGUAAAGCUCUUUCUGUUGGGAAGAAAGGCGUCGGUUAAUACCCUGUUUGUUUGACGGUACCAAUAGAAAAAGCACCGGCUAACUCCGUGCCAGCAGCCGCUAUAAUAA
rnacentral:rRNA from 1 species